GAUCCCAUCGUCUAGUGGUUAGGACACUGGCCUCUCACGCCGGUAACAGGGGUUCGAAUCCCCUUGGGAUCACCA
rnacentral:tRNA from 1 species